GGCAGUCGUGGCUGAGGCCUAUGACUUCGUUCCGGACUGGGCUGAAGUCCUGUAUCAGCAAGUGAUUGUAAAGGAGGACUUCAGCUACCUGGAGGAGUGCAAGCAGCGUGGCCUGCUCAAGGCGAGCACCUUUGAGGAAAUGGCCCAGGAGUUCAAGCAGCGUGCAGGCAAUGAACCGGCUCUAAAAAACCUGAAGAAGCUGUUGACCUAUUGUGAUGAUAUCGAUGUGUAUUACAAGCUAGCUUAUGACAACCAGUUCUACGACGUAGUGAACAUGCUUCUGAAGGAUUUCCACAUUGGCAAGAACACACGUGAAAUAAUAAAAUGGUUCUUUGCUUUCUGACCUACAUUGAUAGUGGAGGAAUGUCUCAAAGGUGCAAAGGUGAUCUUAGGACUUUGCACUGCUUUUAGGUCUAACUUUUGUGUCAUUAAACUUUAUUACUAAAUUUAUUAUUCGGGUUAUGAACGGAACAGCGGAGUCUUAAAAGACAGAGGCUACAAUCCUGUUGUAGAACUCAGUUAAAUUUUACUGAUCGUAUUGCUUCGUGACUCCUCUGUCUCAAAGUUACAUUUCUCCCAAAUCAUUUUAAAUUCCUUUUACUGUAUAGUGGUUAAAACUACUGUUAAGCCAAGAGCAAGUAACACAUUGGCCAAAUGUCAACGCCAGAUUAAGGUUGUCUCUGGCCAGUGCAGUGUUGAAGUCCAGCGCGCAUGCAACAUUUACACAUGCGCACCCUUCAGCCCUUAUUUGCCAACCGUGAAAUUCCCCCAGCAAUUCAUCUCAGAUACAAGGGAAUUGAAAUAACACUUUUUCCAAGGAGAUACAACAGAAAGAUAUCAUGUAAUUUUGUUUUAUUUAACGGCUGUAGCUCUCAAGCGUGUUAAAUUAAAUUGCUAUAACAAA